rnacentral:rRNA from 1 species
CGUAGGGCGCAAGCGUUGUCCGGAAUUAUUGGGCGUAAAGAGCUCGUAGGCGGUUUGUCGCGUCUGCUGUGAAAGCCCCGGGGCGUUAACCCCGUCGGUGUGCAGUGGGUACGGGCAGACUAGAGUGCAGUAGGGGAGGACUGGAAUUCCUGGUGUAGCGGUGAAAUAGCGCAGAUAUCAGGAGGAACACCGAUGGCGAAGGCAGGUCUCUGGGCUGUUACUGACGCUGAGGAGCGAAAGCAUGGGGAGCGAACAGGAUU